GCAAACUUGGUCAUUUAGAGGAAGUAAAAGUCGUAACAAGGUUUCCGUAGGUGAACCUGCGGAAGGAUCAUUACGGCAGGUUGGAAGUAUACCUGGGGGUUGGUCUAGGACAUAAAACUCUGGUCCGUGAGGGUCUUGGAGCAUUGCACGCGUAAUAAGACAGGAAGCGCGCUCCAAUUCAUUCGGCCUCCCCGCCCGUGUCCACCCGUGAUUUUUUGGUGCCUAUUGUUUCCUCGGCAGGCUCGCCUGCCAGUGGGACCCCCCUAAAACCUAUUGCAGUUGCAGUCAGCGUCAGAUAAAUUUAAAUGGUUACAACUUUCAACAACGGAUCUCUUGGUUCUGGCAUCGAUGAAGAACGCAGC
rnacentral:misc_RNA from 1 species